UAGGAUGCUUUUGGGAGGUAGGGCCCGGCCUCAAGUGUCCCUUGGAACACGGAGAUUUCCAGAGGGGUGAGAAAUCCCCGUAUGUGGGGUGUGGCCUACGUUCCGUGUGAAAGCUCUUUCGACGAGUCGAGAUUGUUUUGGGAAUGCAGCUCUAAAAUGGGUGGUAAAUAUCAUCUAAAGGCUUAAUAUUGGCCAGAGACCGAUAGCGCGCACAGUAGAGUGAUCGAAAGAUGAAAAGCACUUUGGAAAGAGAGUUAAACAGUACGUGAAAUUGUUGAAAGGGAAGCGCUUGCAACCCGACUUGGGCGUCAUCGAUCAUCCGGGGUUCUCCUCGGUGCCCUUGACGAGGCACAGGCCAGCAUCCGUUUGGAUGGUUGGAGAAAGGCCCUAGGAACGUAGCUCUCUUCGGGGAGUGUUAUAGCCUAGAGCGCAAUGCAGCCCAUCCGGACCGAGGACCGCGCCUUCGGCUAGGAUGCUGGCGUAAUGGUUGCAAGCGACCCGUCUUGAAACACGGACCAAGGAGUCUAACAUCUAUGCGAGUGUUUGGGCGUUAAACCCAUACGCGGAAUGAAAGUGAACGUAGGUGAGAACCCGUCAGGGUGCAUCAUCGACCGAUCCUGAUGUCUUCGGAUGGAUUUGAGUACGAGCAUAGCUGUUGGGACCCGAAAGAUGGUGAACUAUGCCUGAAUAGGGUGAAGCCAGAGGAAACUCUGGUGGAGGCUCGCAGCGGUUCUGACGUGCAAAUCGAUCGUCAAAUUUGGGUAUAGGGGCGAAAGACUAAUCGA
rnacentral:rRNA from 1 species